rnacentral:rRNA from 1 species
UACGAAGGGGGCGAGCGUUGUUCGGAAUUACUGGGCGUAAAGGGCGCGCAGGCGGCUCUUGAAGUCAGGUGUGAAGGCCCCGGGCUCAACCUGGGAAUUGCACUUGAUACUCGAGGGCUUGAGUGCGGGAGAGGAGAGUGGAAUUCCCAGUGUAGUGGUGAAAUUCGUAGAUAUUGGGAAGAACACCGGUGGCGAAGGCGGCUCUCUGGACCGUAACUGACGCUGAGGCGCGAAGGCGUGGGGAG